ACCCGAUCACCAUGUGACCCCGCUAAUCCAACCUUCCCUGUGUUGAACGCCACUGAGUGCGUCCAACCGUGCGUGCGUGAUGACGUAAUGUCAUGUGACUUACAACCCGACCUGUUGCCUAGCAACGGCAAACACUAUAAAUGUGAGGAUCGUGAGCGUUAAAAUCAUGCAUGAAGGAGAAAUUCCACUAUAAUCAAAUGCUCAUAUUGAGGUCGCUUAAAUUGAGACUUUUAUACAUAAAUGCAGAAAUAAAUGUGUCACCGGUUCCAC